AAGCCAGACUCCUACGGGAGGCAGCAGUGGGGAAUAUUGCACAAUGGGGGAAACCCUGAUGCAGCGACGCCGCGUGAGCGAUGAAGUAUUUCGGUAUGUAAAGCUCUAUCAGCAGGGAAGAAAAUGACGGUACCUGACUAAGAAGCCCCGGCUAACUACGUGCCAGCAGCCGCGGUAAUACGUAGGGGGCAAGCGUUAUCCGGAAUUACUGGGUGUAAAGGGAGCGCAGACGGCAGUGCAAGUCUGGAGUGAAAGCCCGUGGCUUAACCACGGGACUGCUCUGGAAACUGUGCAGCUAGAGUGCAGGAGAGGCAGGCGGAAUUCCUAGUGUAGCGGUGAAAUGCGUAGAUAUUAGGAGGAACACCGGUGGCGAAGGCGGCCUGCUGGACUGUAACUGACGUUGAGGCUCGAAAGCGUGGGGAGCAAACAGGAUUAGAUACCCGCGUACG
rnacentral:rRNA from 1 species